rnacentral:rRNA from 1 species
UACGGAGGGGGCUAGCGUUGUUCGGAAUUACUGGGCGUAAAGCGCGCGUAGGCGGACCUGCAAGUCGGGGGUGAAAGCCCGAGGCUCAACCUCGGAACUGCCUUCGAUACUGCGGGUCUCGAGUCCGGGAGAGGUGAGUAGAAUUCCUAGUGUAGAGGUGAAAUUCGUAGAUAUUAGGAAGAACACCAGUGGCGAAGGCGGCUCACUGGCCCGGUACUGACGCUGAGGCGCGAAAGCGUGGGGAGCAAACAGG